GAAAAAAACUGGAAUGACACAGAAGAUUAGCGUGGCCCCUGUGCCGUGAUGACAACGCAAAUUCAUGAAGCGUUACAUAGUUAA
rnacentral:snRNA from 1 species